AGGAUAUUAGUUAAAAUAUAACAUUUAUAUUGCAAAUAAAAAUUAUUUUCUAUAAAUAUAUCUUUA
rnacentral:tRNA from 1 species